GUUUUGUUUAUCUGUUUACUUGGCAUGUAAUGAAUUUUUAAGCAUACCGUCUUCAUAAAGCAAUGUAAGUGCACGUAUAUGACCGGCGUUCUGCACUUUUCACCUUGAAGGUUUGCGGUCUGUCUGAGGCUGUGGAGACGUGCUUUGAGACGAUGUUAAACACUGAUGCCCGGCCUUGUCUGAUGCUGAUGGAGGAUGACAGGACUGAGCGGAAAACAUCACAGCCGACAGAAUAAACAAUGUGUGCAAGGAACAGUAUUUACAUGCUAUCCAACGUACUUCAUCUCAUGAUUCUGUCCAGACGGAGGCAUCACAGCAGACAAGAUGAUACAUGAACAUUGGAUUCAGACAUGCUUUGAUGCCUUUCUACCUUGAGAUACUACUGAAGAAGACAGAAUUACAGAGGUUUCCCUGGGCGACUGUUUCUCUGAAACUCCAAGGUGAAG